rnacentral:snoRNA from 1 species
UUUUGAUGAUAUAACUUAGGACGCCUUCUGAAACGACUUAUUCGUUUUUGAGAAUAAAUAUGGUUUCUGAAU